UACGAACCGUGCGAACGUUGUUCGGAUUCACUGGGCUUAAAGGGCGCGUAGGCGGCGGCUCAAGUCGGGGGUGAAAUCCUCUCGCUUAACGAGAGAAUUGCUUUCGAUACUGGGUCGCUGGAGGGAGAUAGGGGCGCGCGGAACUUCCGGUGGAGCGGUGAAAUGCGUAGAUAUCGGAAGGAACGCCGGUGGCGAAAGCGGCGCACUGGAUCUCUACUGACGCUGAGGCGCGAAAGCCAGGGGAGCAAACGGG
rnacentral:rRNA from 1 species